rnacentral:lncRNA from 1 species
UUGGAUUCAGCAACAACUAGGCCCUUCCCUACCCUUCCUUUCGUUCCAUUAUUUACUCAAAUUCCACUUCCAACCAACCACCUACAUAUUAGUUGUCAAUCCUACUAGCUAGCUCUGUGCUAGAUUAGGCAUGUGUUUUGGACUUGGGUUUCAAAGUUAAAGGUUUUGUUUGUUUGCUGCUAGGCACUCUAGAGGCUCCCAUUGAAAAUCGAGAAUGGCGUGCAUAUGGCAGUGCUGGAGCUAGGAAUUUGCUCCUGGGUAUUCUUGUACUUUCUUUUGACCAAAGCAAUAUAACAGAACAAUAAAUAUGCAGUAGGAUAACAACAUCAAUGACUCAAUGACCAUAUAUGGAUAAUAGUAGCAAAAUAUCACUGUGGCAAUACCUCUAACAAUUAAGAAAGAUUACAAAAAACAAAGGAAAUUACAAUAUAACUUUAUGAUCCCCUUUCUGAAAGAGAUUAAUGAUAUCUUCAUAUUUGACUUGCUUGAAAAUUCUCUCUCAAUGAAGGUAACCAAGCAAUUAUUGAAAUAUUAAACACCCAUUUAAUUUCUUAGUUGAUUCUUCAAAUAUUUCACUAAGGAAAAUAAUCUUUCAACACUAGCAGUGGUUACUCGAAGAAUGAGCACAAACUUAAGAAGUUUGUAAACAAUAUAAUAUUGUUCAUUCUUUCUUGACACAACCAUCAAAACUAAAAGCUCUCACAAAGCUUAAUCUGUUACAAUAGUUAGAUCUUGGAAUUUGUUAAGAAAUAUUAGUGGCUACACACAAAUUAGCAAUCAAUGGUUACACACAUGGACUUGCAAAACAUAGCUUCUAAUUUGUUAAUAAAUAGAGGACAACUUUAAAAUUAAAUUAUGUUAUUAAGACGGACGCCAAAUUGCAUGAUGGUACGCAUGGCCGCACAGCCUUCGGGCUGGACUGCCAGAGGUGAAGCCAAGAGGCCGACAGGGAUGAGGCUUCCAACUGCGCCACUGCUGGAGAAUCGCACCGCCGCAGGGAUCUGCCAAUCUGGCCAACAAAGCAUGGAGAGAGAAACCGUCAUCGCCAGCUAUUGACAAACCUAUACCGGAGUCUUGGAAUUGCCAAGCUCUAAGAUCGAUGCCGACCAUGAUGCAACCAAGCUCAAAGGCUAGUUCACGGACUAUUGACGGUAUUACGACCCAUGGUUGCCUCACCUCUAUGGUUCUCGACCCAAGUAGGUCGAACCGAGAACCCUUAGGCCUGGUUUUGGUCCUCGGCCAUCAUGUCGGCCCAUGGGCACUAUAAGGGGGAGAUUCGGCAACCCUUGGCAUUUGAUACAUCUCAAACGGAUCGAUAAGUUUUUCAUGAUUCAUGUUAUAUUGCUAUCAACUUUACACACUUGGGGCAUGAUUGAUAGUAAAUUUAUUGGACUAACAUAUUAACCCAGUGCCACUUUUAGUUCUCGAUUUUAUUUUGUUUUUGCUUUUUCAGGAAAAUACACAGAAAAGUCCUAGAAAUAUCUAUAUCCAAAAAAAUGUAUUUCAGAAGAUUGAAGACCAGGAGGACCCUUGGGGAUCUGAGUCCACACCUUGUGGGGCCCAUAUGUCCUUGGAGACCUUAGGAACCCUAGGUU